UGUGCGUGUGUGUGGCUUUCAAAAAGCAGAGGGGAGAAAAUCACUGAAUUGCAUACAUUGCAGUUUGAAUCAGGACUCACACUGCAUGGGGUUCUAUGGCUAUGGCAAAAAGUAGAGGAGACAAAGGGCAUCCCUGCUGUGUGCCUCUGAUUUCUCUUUUUGUUAUGGGCUGAGGAAAUGGAUAUGAUCUUUCCUCUAACCAUGGCUUUCAUUGCAUCCCAUACGACAUCUACUGAGACUCCACAAGAGGAAUUCAAUUCGAAAUAAUCUUUGAUUGUUUGUUCUAUGUCCUCA